CCCCAUAUACUACCCACCACUGCGACCUGUACGCUCUCGUUGGCUGGCCCUCGCUUCAUACUCGUCACCAAACCCACUGGCUACAGGUUAUUUACAAGUCUCUGCUAGGUAAAGCCCCGCCCUAUCUCAGCUCGCUGAUCACCAUAGCAGCACCCACUCGUAGCACACACUCCAGCAGGUAUAUCUCACUGGUCACCCCCAAAGCCAAUUCCUCAUUUGGUCGCCUUUCCUUCCAGUUCUCUGCUGCCACUGGCUGGAACGAACUGCAAAAAUCACUGAAGCUGGAGAUUCCCAUCUCCCUCACUAGCUUUAAGAACCAUCUGUCAGAGCAGCUCACAGAUCACUGCACCUGUUCAUAGCCCAUCUGUACACAGCCCAUCUAUCUACCUCAUUCCCAUACUGUAUUUAUUUAUUUUGCUCCUUUGACACCACAGCAUCUCUACUGGCACAUCUACCAUUCCAGUGUUUAAUUUCCAUUUGUAAUUACUUCUCCAUCAUGGCCUAUUUAUUGCCUUAACUCCCUUAUUUGACCUUAUUUGCACUCACUGUAUAUAGACUUUGUUUUCUUUUUUUCUACUGUAUUAUUGACUGUAUGUUUUGUUCAUUCCAUGUGUAACUCUGUGUUGUUGUAUGAGUCGAACUGCUAUGCUUUAUCUUGGCAAGGUUGCAGUUGCAAAUGAGAACUUGUGCUCAACUAGCUUACCUGGUUAAAUAAAGGUGAAAAAUAGCCUGUUUCCUCUCUAGGUUUCUUCCUAGGUUUUGGCCUUUCUAGGGAGUUUUUCCUAGCCACCGUGCUUCUAGACCUGCAUUGCUUGCUGUUUGGGGUUUUAGGCUGGGUUUCUGUACAACACUUUGAAAUAUCAGCUGAUGUAAGAAGGACUAUAUAAAUACUGUACAUUUGAUUUGAUUAGUCCAACCAGCGAUCUUGUUCAAAGUAGUCCAACCAGUGAUCUUGUUCAAAGUAGUCCAACCAGCGAUCUUGUUCAAAGUAGUCCAACCAGUGAUCUUGUUCAAAGUAGUCCAACCAGCGAUCUUGUUCAAAGUAGUCCAACCAGUGAUCUUGUUCAAAGUAGUCCAACCAGCACUCCUGUGAUCGUGUUAAGUUGUACAACCAGCGAUCAUGCUUCAAAUUAGUCCAACCAUCAAUCCAGCGAUCGUGUUCAAAGUAGUCCAACCAGCGAUCGUGUUCAAAGUAGUCCAACCAGCGAUCGUGUUUAAUACACACAUCACAACAAGAAAGACAACACAAAACUACAUAAAGAGAGACCUAAGACGACAACAUAGCAAGGCAGCAACACAUGACAUCUCAGCAUAGUAGCAACACGACAUGGUAGCAGCGUAAAACAUGGUACAAACAUUAUUGGGCGCAGACAACAGCACAAGGGGCAAAAAGGUAGAGACAACAAUACAUCACGCAAAUCCCCCCCCCAAAAAAAUCCACUGCAUUUCAGCCCUGCAACAAAAGGACCAGCUGACAUCAUGUCAGUGAUUCUCUCAUUAACACAGGUGUGAAUGUUAAAGAUAUUGACACAGGUGUGAAUGUUAAAAUAUUGACCCUUUGCAUCAACUUCAUGUAAUUGUCAAUAAAAGCCUUUGAAACAUAUGAAAUGCUUGUAAUUAUACUUCAGAUUUCCAAAGUAACAUUUGACAAAAAUAUUUAAAGAUACUGAACUUGUUUAACUUGCCUUGUUGGUUAAGGGCUUGUAAGUAAGCAUUUCACGGUGAAGUCUACACUUGUUGUAUUCGGCGCAUGUGACAAAUAAAGCCUAAUUUUGAUUUCACUUUCAUGUAGAAAAUAGUAAAAAUAAAGAAAAUACCUUGAAUGAGUAGGUGUGUCCAAACUUUUGACUGGUACUGUAUAUAUAAUUUAAGUCCAGUAAUGGUAUGUAAUAACUAUAGAUGGCCCCUUUAAGUCUAUCAAAAGUGUGCAAGUUUGAGCAUGUGUCCAUUAGGCCUAUGGAAUAGGCAUGAAUUAAUUUAUCAGCAUGAAUUAGAUUUUGAGCAAUAAAAGCCACACUUUCAUUCCGUAGGCUUGGAUCCAAACUAUGCAGCUGUUGCAAGAGCACAUUUUUCAAUGACUGCCCACUAGUUUCAAAAACAAUGAUUGACAGGCAGCUUAAACUUCUUGAGUUCAACUACGUAUUUAGAUUUG
ensembl:lncRNA